UUCGUGUGAUGAACGCAAAGAAGAAUUCUGCAAUUCAGACAAUCUCCCUGUAUUUCUUUCGGGUUAUACCUUGUGAGAUUGCAUGUUGACUCUUCUACACUUGAUCUGACC
rnacentral:snoRNA from 1 species